AAAAAAGGGAAAGGGGAGGAAAAUCUUCCUCUCCUUUCUCAUGGAAGGUAAAUAUAUUAUCCCAAUGGAAAUGAGCAGAGAUAACAGCUUUUGACUUCAUAAUUGCCUAGUUAUUUUCCUGCUACUCCAGUCAUGGCGGAUGCACUUGUAUCAGUAGUCUUACAGCAAUUAACUUCUACCCUUCAAGCGGAGAUUCAGCAAGAGGGAAGACUGUUGUUUGGAGGGCAAGAAGAGGUUCAAAAGCUUACUUCUGCCCUCACUGCAAUCCGGGCUGUGCUCAAUGAUGCAGAGAAGAAGCAAGUGAAGGAAAGUAGUGUCAAGGUUUGGUUAGAAGAGCUUAAAGCCAUAUCUUAUGAAUUGGAUGACUUGCUAGAUGAGUGGAACACCAAGAUCUAUGGACCCAAAGUUGAGAGGACUGGCAAGAAAAAGAAGAUUGUACGCCUCUCUCAUGUCCUUUCUCCAUAUUUUUGUUUCAACCAAACUGUAAUGCGUCAUGAUAUUGGAAUUAAGAUGAAGGGUAUUGUGGAAAGGUUAGAUUCGAUUGCAAAGGAGAAAGAAAGGUACCAUUUUGCUUUGGAAGGGAGGAGGGAAGAACCAGAGAGAAUAGAAACUACACCUUUAAUUGAUGUUUCAGAGGUUUGUGGUAGGAAAUUGGAUAAAGAUACUUUAAUAAGUAAGCUGUGUGAUGAUAUUCCAGGAGAAAUUAGCCCUAGUGGUCCUCUUGUUGUCUCUAUAGUCGGUAUGGGGGGGAUGGGAAAGACAACUCUGGCUCAGCUGGCCUUCAAUGAUGAAAAGGUUGAUGCCCAUUUUGAGCAUAAAAUUUGGGUGUGUGUUUCAGAGUCUUUUGAUAAGACCCAGAUAGCAAAAAUGGUCAUUGAAGCUAUUGAUAUACUCCGCCAACACUUAUUUUGGCGUGACUUGCAGAGACAGCUACACAACUGUGUCAAUGGAAAGAAGAUCCUACUUGUGCUGGAUGAUGUAAGGACUGAUGACUUCCAAAUUUGGGAACCAAUAAAAAUUUCCCUCAAAUCUGCGGCUUUGGGAAGUAGAAUUUUGGUGACAACCAGGAAUGAGAGAGCUUCAAUAAUGAUGGAAGCCGCUUACAUGCUCUCCCUAGGGAAGUUGUUGCCUGAGGAUUCUUGGUCAUUGUUUAGUAGAUUUGCUUUCUAUGGAAAGAGCAGAGAGGAUCGUGGCAAUUUGGAAGAAAUUGGUAGAAGAAUUGUGGACAGGUGCAAAGGCCUACCUCUGGCUGUAAAGACUAUGGGGAGUCUAAUGCGCUUCAAGGAAACAAAGCAAGCUUGGGAGGAUGUCCUUGAUAGUGAACUAUGGGAAGUAGAAGAAGUUGAAAGGGGGAUUUUUACUCCUCUAUUGUUGAGUUACUAUGACCUGCCGUCCCCUGUGAAAUGUUGUUUUACAUAUUGUGCUGUUUUUCCAAAAGAUUAUAGGAUGGAUAAGGACACUUUGAUACAGCAAUGGAUGGCACAGGGUUUUCUUGUUCCUGCAGGAAGCAUGGACAUGGAACAAAAAGGUUCAGAGUACUUUGACAACUUAGUAAUGCAUUCAUUAUUUCAAGAUUUGGAAAGGAAGAAGGAUGAUGAUAGCAAAAUCAAUUGCAAGAUGCAUGACAUUGCACAUGAUUUUGCCCAGUUCCUGACAAAGAAUGAAUGCUUCAUUAUGGAUGUUGAUGAUGGAAAUACGCCAAGGCUGGAUCUAUUGCGUAGAAGUGCUCGUCACCUGACCUUAAUUGGUCGAAUGAAAGACUUCCACCCCUCCAUUUAUGAUUUUAGAAAUCUACGAACACUGCAGGUCCUACAAAUGGAAAUAAGAGCUGUUCCAGGUGAUUUAUUUAACUGCCUAACAUCUCUUAGGGGAUUAGAUUUAAGUCACACUUCAAUUGGAAGACUCCCAAGUGAAGUUGGGAAACUUUUGCAUUUAAGAUGGUUUAAUUUGGCUGCACUACCCUUGGAGGAGUUGCCUAGCACACUGUCUAAUUUAUAUAAUUUGCAGACCUUGAAACUUGACCGUUGUAGAUGUCUUCAAAGACUACCUGGAGGCCUGGGAAAACUAAUUAAUUUGAGACAUCUUAACCUUAAAGAGACUGACUGCCUAAGUUUCUUGCCACAAGGCAUUGGGAGAUUAAGCAACCUACGCACGCUAUGUAAGUUUAUUGUGAGUGAGAAUAAGGAAGGGUGUAAUAUUGCAGGAUUGAAAAACCUCAACCAUCUUAGAGGGCAUCUUGAAAUUAGCGGCUUAGAGAAGGUUGUGGAUGCAGGUAAAGCAAUAGAGGCAGAUCUGAUCAACAAACAGCUUCGAAGUUUGGACCUGGUAUUUUCAUUUGGUGUGAAAGAGGUGAUGGAAAAUGUGAUUGAAGCUUUGCAACCACAUCCAAAUUUGGAAGCUUUACAGGUUUAUGAGUAUGGUGGAUCAAUUUUUCCCAGUUGGAUAACCUUGCUCACAAAGCUGAAAGAUCUGAGACUCCUGAGUUGUGUAAACUGUCCACAGUUGCCUCCUUUAGGAAAACUGCCAUCUCUGGAAAAACUCCUAAUAGGGCAUUUCAAUAAUUUGAAAUCUGUAGGUGUUGAAUUGCUUGGGGUAGAUCCUGCCACAGAUAUUCAUGGUUCAGAAUCAUUUGUGGCUUUUCCAAGGUUGAAAGAACUCACAUUUCGCUUUAUGAUGAAGUGGGAAGAUUGGGAUACAAUAACAACCUCUGCUGCUAUUGCUAGUUUGAGUAUUAGCAGCAGUAAUGACAAUGCAUCAACAAGAAGAGCAAUGCCAUGCCUGCGCUCUUUAUCCCUUUAUGAUUGCCCCAAGCUGAAGGCAAUACCACAAGACCUCCAAGUGAUGCCCCUGGAGGAGUUGAUCAUUAGCAGGUGUCCCAUUUUGGAACAGCAGCGCCAGUCUCAAUAGCUUUCAAUUGGUUAGCACUUCAUGACACACUAGUCUAUCUGAUUCUGCAUUUCAUUUGUCCCAAGAUAUAGUCAAUUAAUGGUGAUAUACUUGUAUCUUCUAUUCUACUUUCACAAACUCUCACAUACCGCAUUGUGUUGCAUGAUGCUAUCUUUUAGCAGCAAUCUGUCAUUAUACCGUGCAUGAUUCUUUUUUUGGCUUCAGAUCAACAGGAGGCAAUAAGUGCUGCACAUACAAUUAUAAUCAGCAGCAAGAAAGAAUGGAGUUAUUGUUGCUGCUAAUUCACAGCAACCAAAUCAGAGGAACUUUCUCUAUUUUUGAGCUCAGAAAGCAUUCAGCUGUUUGUUUAUUCAAUUGUGUUUGGCUGCACACCUUUGCAGAUGUAUGCCUGUUCAUCAGGAAGCACAUUAAGACCUGUUGCAAGGAAGAAAAAACUAAACCCAUUUGGUCAUCUCAGCCUGAAUUGGCAUGCACGUCAUAAUUUAUGUCAUGUUUACAGAUUAAAGUGUUAGGAUUCUGUCCAAAAUGUCAAAUUUGCCAAAUUGUCUUUUAGAAUGACGGUAAUAUGUAAUUGAUGUUGAUUGGUAAUAAAGUCUGUGAGACUGGCUCUCUUUGAGGUUGGUGAUUAAUUCAUUUCAUUAGCAUAUAUCGUCUGUGUUGAGAAAAGGCUUUAUGGUUGUUCAAAGGUCCUAAUGUAAUCUUACAACAGGCAUCAAAAUGUUCUUCCUUCUCUUCUA
rnacentral:misc_RNA from 1 species